rnacentral:rRNA from 1 species
ACUGAACGCUGGCGGCAGGCUUAACCCAUGCAAGUCGAACGAGUGGCGGACGGGUGAGUAAUGCCUAGGACGCUGCCUGGUAGUGGGGGAUAACGUGCGGAAACGGGCGCUAAUACCCCAUUCUCUCAGUUGCGCCUCGGUCGGGUUAGCUAGUUGGUGGGGUAAGGGCCUACCAAGGCGACGAUCCGUAACUGGUCCGAGAGGAUGAUCAGUCACACUGGAACUGAGACACGGCCCAGACUCCUACGGGAGGCAGCAGUGGGGAAUAUUGGACAAUGGGCGAAAGCCUGAUCCAGCCAUGCCGCGUGGAUGAAGAAGGCCUUCGGGUUGUAAAGUACUUUCGGCGGGGAGGCGUUACCCGCAGAGAAAGCACCGGCUAACUCCGUGCCAGCAGCCGCGGUAAUAC